GCGUCGUUGUAGAUCGUGCUUGGCCGCGUGAGCUGGUGGAAUAGAUCUCGGCAUGAGCAUUGAUUAACUGCCAGAUCUAACUCUUCCGGCUGGUUCGGUUCGGCAUCAGCAUCAACAAGACCU
rnacentral:precursor_RNA from 10 species